CCAUUACAGCAACAAACAUUUUUAAUGCAAUUUUCUUUUUCAAAAUUCACAUCUGAGGUAUGACAGUGUGUAAUUUAUAUUGUAGGUUUAAUAGGGAACAUCUCUUGAAUUCAUGUUAAUCACGUAUCUUACUUUGCUUAAAGCUGAGCUAAACAGAACUAAUUUGAUUAUUUUACCUUUUCAGCUGAAUUGUGCCCAACCAGGGUAACAGUUGUCUGAUUUCACAAGUGAUUUUGCUCUUCCUGAAGUCCAGCUUUAAAUUCAGAGCUUGAUGUUGCAGCAGGUAAUGAAUCACUUCCCAGGUCAGUGAACAGGAAGUCAGAUCUUUAGGCACCUUCUUCAGGAAAAAGCAUGUCAGUUCAUCAUCCUGUGCUUCAUACACCACUGAAACCAGCUGCUGAAGAGUUUCUUUAGAGAACCUGA